AAAAAAAAAGGGUCUUCGCUUCGAAAAGAAGGUUUUUAUCUCCCCUCCAUAUAUUCACGUGGACCGUGGCCUUCUAGUUUGGAGCUUCCGACUGGUCAUUCGUUUGGAGUUGUCACCCUUAGAUAGUGAGCUCAGUUUUAAAAUAGAAUUCUGUGAGAGCUACUGAGUUUGUUUGUUUUUUAUUUCGAAAUUAGCUGAGGUUAAUAAAAUUAAAAUUUCAAAUAAAAUUAAAAGAAUAUUCUAGAAUUUUUUUUCUGCAUUAGAUUUUGCUUACUUUUAAUUUCAAUUAAUUUAUCCUCGUCAAUUUUUGCAAGUAGUUCAUUAUUCUGUGUGGAUAUUAAUUUCUUAAAGUGACAAAUUUUGUGUGUGACGUCAUUAAGGUAGUGUCUUUUUUUUUAAAUAAAAAAAAUUUACUUACAUUCAUUGUGUGCGUGUUAUUUGUUUUGGGGAGCUGGAUUUGUCAUUUCAAACGGAUUUGGAUUUCUUUGUGGAUUUACUCUGGCUGUCUGUCAGUUUCAUUCUAGAUGGACCAAUUUAACAACUAAGUUCCGGUCUGACGUCACGCUCUUCUCGCCACGCAACUUCUCUGUGAUAACCUACGUCAUCGUGCGGCUACAUCUACGUCACUGCAUCUCACUGACGUGCUAGGAACAUCUCCAAACAAAGCGACGCUUCCAAUUUAAAAAUAUUUGUAAAAAGUUGCGUCAUUAAGAUCUUCUGCGAACAUCCAAGCUCUGUGAUUUUGUUGGCUUUGUUUUCCAUGUCUCUGAAAGAAAGGGGUCAUAAAGUAUAAAUUAUAUAUAUACAUAUAUAUUUAUUUAUUUCUAUAUAUACAUCUAUAUAUAUAUAUUCAAUAUAUCAAUCUUCCUAAAUCUAUUUAUUUAUAUUUUAUUGAACUUUACACACGUGAUAUAAUUGUCGUUCGUCUAUUGAAAGACACUCCGCCAUCCUAUGAUUUGUGUGUGAAUCAGUGCUACUGGAAUAUUCCUUGGAUAAAGCUACAUCAGUUGCAAUAGUUUUUCCAAAGUCUAGCCACAUCCAUAUUGCCUACACCUUUACAGUCGUAACAAAAAUUUGUAAUCUGCCUUGCAUCGACUGGGCAUAAAGAGGAAGGUCAAAUCUGCUGCACGUUUGCAAGUCAUCUGGACAUAAAGGAAAGCUCACGUCUGCUGUCAACUCGACGUAAAGAAAAGGUCAAGCCCACCUCAAGGAGUUCAUCUCUUUUUUUUACUGCAGGUUGUCCAGCACUCCCAAAUGCUCGAUAUGAUGACCGCACUGAUCCCCGCAUCUCUCCUCCAAGACACGCACCUGUCCCACCACUUUGCUCACCCCGUGCACAAUCCCGCCCCUCACCACAUCAUGCCCCCACCCACUUCCUUGAGUCACGCCUUAAGUCACACAACACACCCACCACCUGUCAGUCACGGGCAGUCGUCAUCCACAAACUCUGUGCUCCCAAUGAAGGAUCAUGACGCCAUUAAAUUGUUCGUUGGGCAGAUUCCCAGGAACUUGGAGGAGAAAGAUCUGCGUCCAGUAUUUCUGGAGUUUGGGGAUAUUUAUGAGUUGACUGUUCUUAAGGACAGGUUUACCGGCAUGCAUAAAGGUUGUGCUUUCCUCACCUACUGCUCACGGAACAGUGCUAUAGCCGCCCAGCAGGCUCUUCACGAGCAGAAGACGCUGCCUGGGAUGAACAGACCUAUACAAGUCAAACCAGCGGAUAGUGAAAGCCGUGCUGAAGAUCGCAAAUUGUUUGUUGGCAUGCUGAACAAGUCUCAGACAGAAGAUGACGUCAGGCAGUUGUUUCACUCGUACGGGACAAUCGAAGAGUGCACCAUCCUCCGAGACCAAAGUGGCAACAGUAAAGGUUGUGCAUUUGUGAAGUUCUCCAAUCAUCAAGACGCGGUCGCCGCGAUCAACGCUUUACACGGGAGCCAGACGAUGUCGGGCGCCUCCUCAAGUCUUGUAGUCAAGUUCGCUGAUACAGAAAAAGAAAGACAACUACGCCGAAUGCAACAAAUGGCUGGACCACUUGGACUGUUAAAUCCGUUUGCUCUCAGUGGCUACAGCGCUGCAUAUGCUCCGGUGGAGUCACCAUACGAACUGGCUCGAGUAGGCUCUUUCGAGACUUUGGCACCACAGCCAGUAUAUACCAAACAGUCUGCUGCACUUCAGUCCCAGCAACUCAUGCAGCAACAGGCUGCCAUUAUGGCAGCAGCUCAAACCCCAUACCUAACCAAUCCUGUCAGCAUGCUGUCAACUCAGGUACAACAGUUAACAAGUUUACCUGCAGCUCCAAAUGGUCUAGUCUCCACUGCCAUCACACCCACCACAGCUACCCUAGGAAGUGAAUAUGCCAAUGUUUGGCCAUACCAUUGGCGUGACGGACAGCUUGAUAAAAUCAAGAGUCUGGAGCAUCAUUAUUCUGGUUCUUUCUCUCCACUAUCAGGCACUCCAACGCCCACUAUUAACGGAGCUCCACCGAGCAUGUUGUCACCCACUGCUAUGGCAUCCUUCCCCAUGCCACCAUCAAAUGGAACUGCAGAAAUCUACACCAAUGGCAUCCCUCAUUACACAGGUUUGUAUUUGACGAAUGGAGAUCCCCUUCAAGCAUAUGCUGCUAUACCAUCAUACGCAGGCAUUGUCUCUUUCGUUUCAGCAGCAUAUCCUGCAGUGUAUGGUGGAUUCCAACAACUGGCACAGCCAGCCACUUUGGUGCCCACAGCUCAGAAAGAAGGUCCUGAAGGCUGCAAUCUUUUUAUCUAUCACUUGCCUCAGGAGUUUGGGGAUGGUGAGCUAGCCCAGAUGUUUGUGCCAUUUGGAAACGUGAUUAGUGCUAAAGUAUAUGUAGAUAGAGCAACAAACCAAAGUAAAUGUUUUGGGUUUGUUAGUUUUGACAAUCCUACUAGUGCUCAGACAGCUAUUCAAGCUAUGAAUGGAUUCCAGAUUGGAAUGAAGCGCCUAAAAGUGCAGCUCAAGCGCCCCAAAGAUGCCAACCGACCUUACUAAAGGCUAUGAUUUAUGUGAAAUAAUUCUACACAUUAAACCAUGCCCUCCUACAGAGGCUUGCACCUCCACCAUAGGGGGCUUGUGGUUGGAAGGUGUUCAUGCCAAUCACUCAACUUCUCUUCCAUCACUGCGGUAUGAUGUUCAGGCUUCAGAACACAAGAAGCUGGAAAUUGACAAUAGAAAAUAAACAGAGAGAAACAGAAAAAAAAACAAAAAACGAUUGAAGUGAGGAGUGAAGAACUACAUCUGAAAAUGGUUUCUCUGUAGCAGCAAAUGAACAUGAUUAUAUUCCUACAUUUUUUUAAUGUGACAAAAAAAAAUUCUAAUAUUUUUGUUGUUUUGUUGUAAUUAAAUGAUUUUUAAAAAAUACUUAACAAAAGAAAUAUUUUAUCAGUUAAGGAAGAAAGUACGAGUUGAGCUUUUUACUUAUUUAGUACACAAGCAUAUAGUGCUGAAAUGUUGUAUAACUAAAUCACUCUGGUACAUCUAAGAUUAUUUUACAAAUCAAUAUUUAGAGCCUUUAACUCAUUGUUUAUAACUCAAUUUUAAAGCCUUUAACUAAUUGUUUAUAACACAAUUUUAGAGCCUUUAACUCAAUGUUUAUAACUAUUAGAAAUCCAAACAGUGUAUAGUUUAAGAAUGACAAGAGUCAAGUUUUUUCUUUGUACAUUUUAUAUUUUUGUUUCAUUGUGUUUUUAUGGUUGAACUUUUCUUCAAAAUCUUGUUUGCAAUGUACAACUCAACUAGUCAGUCAUUUCUGCCAUGUCUGCUGUUAUUGUUCCAGAUGAGAUUUAGAACUGACCUCUUUUUAUCUUCUGUUAUCCUUAACACCCAUCACAGCACAAACUCAAUGUUUUAGUUACAAUAUCAGCAGGUAUUGCUUUUUUUUUUUAUUGUACUCAUUUAUUUUUUCAAUUGAACAAAUCUGUCUCAUUAUUUUUGGAUUUUAAUUUACAAGAUUUGUUGCAUUUUUAGAAUAAACUGUUGACAUUGUUAGCUUAAAUAAAAGUUUUUAUUUCAGUGAAAAUAGAAAGCCAUAAGUUAUGGCCCAAUAUUGUAAACCCAACAUCUAUAACAUUACUAAAAGUAAAUUUUAAAUAUUAUCAGGCAGUAGUUUAGUCAACCAUAAAGCUUUGUAAUCAAAAGAUUAUUUUGUUGGCAUAUCCGCUUUUAAAGUUUGUUUCUUUUUUUUUUUAUUAAACUGGUUUAACAAUUUCAACAUUUCCACAUUAAUUAAAAGGUGUACAAACAAAAUUCAUUACUUAAUAUAGGCAAUUGUGUACAUUAAGCUAAGCCAGUGAAACAAGGAUGACUGAAUUGAUGUAAUUUUUUAAUUGCUUUUUCUCAUUAUUUUUUAAACUGUGCUUAUUUCAACUAAUCAUUUUUAGCAGACAUGACGUAUUUGUCUAAAUAUUAGAAUAAAGCAUCAUGUCCUUGUAUGUUUCUCUCAAACCUUGAACUUGAAAUUUUUUGCUUGAAAAAAAAAAGGUGUGUACAUAAUUUAUAAAUAGAGGCCCAGAAUUUCACAAUUUUUACUUUUUUUUUUUAAUCUGGGCAGUUUAAUUUAUUCAUGUACUUAAAAUGAGCUCAAUUGAGCAGAGACUAUUUUUUCCAUGGUGUAUACAUUUUAUUCUUUAUAAUGAGUUAUUAUGCUAUUAAUGAAAUGUUUGCUUUAUGACUAAUGCUUUUUUGCCUGUACUUCAUUUUUGUAUGCUUACAUCAUCAACCUAGUAGUCGAACAAUUUAUUCAGCUCCUACUAGUGACAUUUAUUAUUUCAUUAAUACCUGUUCAUCAAAACAAUGUAUUCAUCUUCUUUGAAACAAUUAAAUAUAUGUAUACAUAUAUUUACAUGAUAAUGUAUAUGUAUAUAUUUACAUGAUUAAUCUUCAGUCAAAUAUGAAUUUUGAAUUACGCUAGUUUGGCUCUACAUGUGUAUCACUAUGACAAUAAUUCAGCCAUUUUUCACCAUGCUGACAGAUGUAUACUAUUUGAUCAUGGAAAUAAAUAAGAUUCACUAUUUUAUCUUUUGCUUUAAAAAUAGAAUUGUCUUUUUUAAAAUCUUGUCCAAAAAAAAUGUUCUGUAAACAAAUUUGUUAAAUAAUUUAAUUACAAAAAAAAAAGAUUACAAUUAUUUGAUAUCAUAUUACAACAGAACCUUUAGUCUAUGUUAGAGCCUUAUUGUUAUCAUGUAAAAUUAUCAGGAAUCUGGUCUUCAUUGGAACUACAGGCUGUACAUUACUCUAUUGAUGAUUGUCAUUGAUUUGUGUCAAUAAUGUAUGCUGCCAUGUCUUAUUACCCUGUUGCUCAAAUCAGUAGGUUCGCUCUCUUUGUUUUUUUAAUUCUAUUUUAAGACACACUCUCUUCAAAAAUGUCUGUUAGUUAGCUCUGUUACCCAUUUUAAAUAACCCUUUUUUGUUUUAUAUAAAUUUAAUAAGCUAAUAACAUUGUUUUUAAAAACAUGUGCAUCAUUUCUACUGAUGAAGGCACACUGCUCUGUUAUCUCAGAAGUGCGAUGUUUAUAAUCCAGUUGCAUUAUUUAUAUAUAUUUAUACGACUAACCCUUGUAAGUGUUCAUUUUAAAAAUCAUAUAUAGAAUUUGACCAAAAUUUAGAGAAAAUGUGUGAAAUAUAUUUUUGCUUUAAAUAUGAUUUUUUUUUCCUUUUCUUUUAACAAUUCUGUGAGAUUCUGGAUAUGGACUACCGUCAAAAUGUAUGUUAACUAAUGGCAAUAACUCUUGCCUAUGUGAUCUUUUCCUUUCAUAGACAGUGAUAUCUUGAGAUUUGUGUCACAAAAUGUUACAACUUUUAAAAAAAAACACAUUUAUUGAAAGCUUCUAAUUUGAAAAUGUUAGUCUCAAAACCUAGUGUAAGAAAGAAAGAGAGAGAAUGAGAGAUAAGGGGUAAGCUUUUUUUUUUUUAAACUGCAGUGCGCAUUGGGGUGUAUGGAUCAAGUUCUUUAUAAGACUUUUUUCAUAACAUGGAUAUUAUAACUAUUCACAUACAUUUUGUCAGUACUAUGGCCCAAGUCAAGUCAUGCUGAAUAGUUGCAUGGAGAUGUCAGUCUUUGAUUUAAGGGAAUUUCUUCCAAUUUUCCACUCUUGUAUGUCAACGCUAAAAGAUUUAAGGAAAAAGUUGUUUGAAAUUUUUUUUAAAUAUUUAACUGUAUUUUUAAUUUGUACAGAUAAUUUGGAAGAAAUUUAAAUUUUCAUGAAAAAUAAAAGACUUCUAUUGUUUAAAAUCUUUUAGAACAAAUUUGGGGAAAGGAAUUGAGGUGAAAUAUUUUUUUUCUUGGUGAAAUGAUUUUCUGAUUGAGCUUUAAGGAAUUUUUAGCUUACAUUUUUAAUUCCAAAUCCUUCAAUUUUUUUUUUUUGGAUUUCUUAAUUGUUAAAAUUGGGGUCCAAUAAUCCUACAUUAUGUUAUUUUUCAUAUUAUCAUAACUUUUUUUUUUUUAAAUUUCAUUUUCAUUUGGAAGCAUAUCAUGACAUUUCAUUUACACUUAUAUAUCUAUCUCUAUAUAUGAAUAUAUAAAAAUAUAUAUAAAUGCAUAUAUGCCAUUUGAUUUUCUUAGAAUUUUUUUUCUUGUAUUUAUUAUUGAUAAGACAUAUCUCAUUUAUAAAUAUAUAUUCCUUGGCCAUUUCAUGCUCUAAGAAUCUCCCAAUGAUAAUCUUUUGAUCAUUUAUUUCAAAACUAUUUCAGUUAUUUCAAUGUCUUUUUUUUUUUAUUUUUAUCUUAAAUUACAUUAUUCAUUUUUUUCUUUCAUUAAUUCACAUUAUUUGUUUCAUUACUGGACUUUGAAGAAAAAAAAACUAAUUCAGGUCACUCAUGACUGAUCUAAUGAGCACUUUUGUUUCAUUUUAUUUUCUAGACAUUUUUUAAGCCAUUGCUUUCAACUUGUUUGAGGGAAAGUGCAAUAAAUUCAGUUGACCUCAAUGUGACCCUGCCUUGGGUUUUUAGUGUUCACAAUAAAUAUUAGUUUUCAUUAUUUUUUUCUUUUUUCAUGUUUGAUUUCUUUAUUUAUUUUAUCAUCUUGAUAAAUUAUCAGUCUGGAAACAAUUUUUGGAGCUUACACAUAAUAAUAAAAAAAACAUGUGUUUUGUUAGGCCUAUAUUUUCAAGCAGAUAAUUUCAGUCUAUUUUUAGUCACUGACCAUUAAUGUAAACAAACAUAAUUUAUUGCAUUUAUAAUUGUCUAAAGAUACCAAUAUAGUUUUUUUCAUCAAUUUAACAACAAAAAAUGUCAAAUCAAUCUAUAUUCUUCAAAAUUUUAAAGCAUUCUGUUGGCCAUAAAAGAAAUCUUUAUAAAUAUGUCAUGGUAUAUUUUGAUAAAUGUAAAUUUGUAUUCACUUUGGAGGAAUGUUUUGAGAAUGGGAAUAUUCACUAAUUCAAAUAUUUCAAGGUUUCUACUUAAGAGAAGAUCAAAAGUAUUUUCAAACCAGAUAUGAGUUUUGUUCUUGGUCUUUGAAAACAUCACCACCACUGACAAGUAGAAAUAUUAAUUAACUCUAUCUAAUUAGCUCAUUACAUAUGAAUUUUCAUUUCCUAUAAGAUCAAAUCGUUUUUUUUUUAUAAUAAAAAAAAAAGUAUGAUAAUUGUGUUGCUAUUUGAUUUUGUUUUUUUAUAAUUCUGUGACAGUAAAGCCUUUUUUUUU